rnacentral:rRNA from 1 species
UGGAGUAUGUGGUUUAAUUCGACGCAACGCGAAGAACCUUACCAGGCCUUGACAUACUCGGCAAAGCUCUAGAGAUAGAGUGGAGGUUAUCCGGGAUACAGGUGGUGCAUGGUUGUCGUCAGCUCGUGUCGUGAGAUGUUGGGUUAAGUCCCGCAACGAGCGCAACCCCUACGUUUAGUUGCUAACGCGUGAAGGCGAGCACUCUAGACGAACUGCCGUUGACAAAACGGAGGAAGGUGGGGAUGACGUCAAAUCAUCAUGCCCCUUAUGUUCUGGGCUACACACGUGCUACAAUGGCCGGUACAGACGGACGCAAAGCCGCGAGGUGGAGCAAAUCCUAAAAAGCCAGUCUCAGUUCGGAUUGCAGGCUGCAAUUCGCCUGCAUGAAGUCGGAAUCGCUAGUAAUCGCAGGUCAGCAUACUCGCGGUCGAAUACGUUCCGGGCCUU